ACAAAGCUCAGGGGUGUCCCAGGUGAACCCCCUUCUCUAAAACAAGCAGGUCCCUCCCUGCUCCGACACUGAAAUGACAUCACGGGGCACUGAGGACGUGAGGCCCGUCCCCGGCUGCUGCAGUGCAGUGCCACCUGCAGGCCGUGUGGCCUGAGCAGGCUGUGCCAUCUCCAGGCCUGCAGUCUCUCGUCUGUAGGAAGAGGAUGAUCAGUAGCCCAGCCUUGGAGGAGCCAUGCUCACCCCGAACGCUUCCACCAGCUCAGGCUGCAUGGUUUCAACAAGAGGAAUUUGUUUCUCAUAGUUCUGGAGGCUGGAAUUCCAAGAUCAAGCAGGGCCUAUGACCAUGUCUGAUGUUCAGGGAAUGAAGAAGUGAAGAAAGCAGGAAUGAAUGAAGGAAGGAAGCAGCCCCAGCAAUUGGUUCCCAGGCGAGAAGCUGGUGGGGUUCUGACUUCUAUCCCGAUUCACACCCUUUUCUCCUGCCCUCAGGGCGGUCCUUCUCCUGCUCUUGUUCAUUCAUCCCCUUCAGCCCUUUCGUAUUCUCUUCUGUAGCCGAACCACAAAAAAUAAAUACAUUAGAAAUGUUUUCCGAGCUCAUCGUGUCAAUUUCUCUGCCCCAGCCCAGUGC
rnacentral:lncRNA from 10 species